GAGAAGAAUGCCUUUGGUCUGUGG
rnacentral:piRNA from 1 species